GGAGAGCGACGUUUUGGGCAAGAACCCUAGCCGCCCCAUCCCCGCGUCCUCUCGCACUCGAUCCCCCCUCUCGCUGACGGCGUCGUCCGUGUCCGCGCCUCGCCCAUCUCGUUCUCCCCGUUGGCCGCCUCCUUCCUCGCCCAUCUCCUUCUCCCCGCUGGCCGCCUCCUUCCCCGCCCAUCUCCUUCUCCCCGUUGGCCGCCUCCACUCUCCUAUCGCCAUCUGACCCAGAUGCGGCCGCAGUCCGCCGGCGCCACAGGCGGAGGAGAUGCCGGCGCCGCAGGCGGAGGAGACGCGACUAGGAGGAGCACGAGCCACCUUCGCCACCUACCCGACGACGCUGUGAAGGAAGCGAGCAGAGAGGUAGGGCGCCGCCAGCGCCGUGAACCCGUGCGACACCAACAGCCUGCCGGUCUGUGCGUGCCUCCACGGGUUCGCGUCGCUGUGACACGCCGCGCCAGGUGCACGUGCGCUUCGUCACGAAGCUGCUGCCUCUGCUCCGCCCUCCGUCCACCGCCAUCGCGGUCCUCGCCGAGCUCUCCCACAUGGGCCUCUCCGAGAUAGUCAACAGCCUCCUCUUCUCUGCCGAGCCGGACCACCGGCACAGCCCUUCGACUUCAUCGUGGAUGGCGAGCUCAUGCGGAUGCCGCUCCAUCAGUUCCUAGUCGCCAAGGGCAUCUCGGAGCGCGCGCUUGAGCUCGAGAACAUAAGAGAGCUGUGGCGCCGGGGAAGCAGGAGCCACCAUUGCCACACGAUGACUGGGUUAGCGCAGUUGAUGGGUCCAAACCAAGGUAUGGCUGUGGUCUGAUGAGGAUUUAGUUGGUCAAUGAUGCUCUAAUUUGUCAAGGACUUGCGGCAAUGUGUGUAUUAGGUACAAUUGGAUGAAGUCACAUUCUGUUUUUGGAUUUGAGGAAUGCCUUGCCUUAGUUAGAUAGCAGUGGCUACUUGAUGCCAAAAAGAACCCAGAUUAUGUCCAUUUUUGGUUCAUAGUAGGUGAUAGUUGAGCUGGAGUAGGUUAAAACGAGGAUUAUCAUCAGUCUGCUUGCAUAAAUAGUUUAUGAAUACUUUAAUAAUCCAUUGUUUAGAUACCUCUCUAUACUGUUAGGAUUUAAUUAAUGCUAUUAAUCCCUACUUUUUCUAAAGGAUUCGAUUGUCUCGUGGCCCUUCAGAGACACCCUUCGGAGGCUAUAUGUAUGUGUAAACCAUCAUCAAUGAGAAUAAGGAUUCACUUUUAUUUCUCUGUCUCCCCCUCUCUCUCGUUUCUCUUUAACACGUUAUCAGCCACGCUAGAUUCUAAGAGCAUCUCCAGCAGCGCCCCCCGGAAAAGCCUCCUCAGGCGAUUUUUUCGCGCCGGCGCGAAAAAAGGGCCCAGUCGCGCCCCCAGGAGCCCGAUUUUCGCCGGCCUAGGCCGAAAUCAGCGUCGGCGGACCCAGGCUGAACUCGGGGCGCUGGGGGCGCCCGGGGGCGCCGGGGCGAGCAGUUUUGGCGCGAAAGAGCCGCA